ensembl:ncRNA lncRNA:CR44032 long non-coding RNA:CR44032
ACUCUGCCUCGCUCUGUCUCACUCGCUCGCCCGCAAAUCACCCCUGCAGAGCGAGUCAGCCAACUGACGAGCGAAAGAGAUCACAUCCGCCCGCCGACUCUUUUCCGCGGAAGUGCAAAUGUGGCAGAUUAAUAGCACAAUUGGAAAUAGCGUUCUGUCAGCUUGAGUUCACAAAGCAGCGGAUUUGGCCAGGAGGGCUGCCCUGCACCACCGCCUAAUGUCACCCCUCACCACCUCACACCGCUUACUACUGAGAUCUUUAUUAGCGCCAAGAGUUCUACGCGCUAUCGCCUGGCAUUUGGCAGGCGGCGAUUGCGAUAAGCAGACUCGAGCUGAAGCCACAGGAAUCCAAUCCAUUUGCCCCGGCCAUGCGAAUGCAAAUUGCGCGGCAUGCAGUGGAUGCAGCAGCUCUGGCAUUUUCCACAAGUUCACCCCACGGGUUAAUUGACAGUUUUUCUUGGGCACGAGCCAUGUUACUGCUCAUCGCUGGCCGGGAUCUCGGUCCUAGUCUUAGUCUCAGUUUCAGGUGUUGUUCUAGCCGGCCUGGAUGGAAUGCGUGUGUGUGGCCAGAAGCGAUUGCGUACUCCGUUUUCAUUAGCUGAGAUAGCUGAGUCGAGAUGUGGAAUGUGAACCCCUUCAGAAUAAGGCAAUGUUAUGAAAAUCCCAAAUCCUAUUUGCGAUAACUUGGAUAAUGCAUUACUACGCUUAGGAGAUUCGCUACUGGUCAGAGGAUAAUUAUAUCUAUAUUUCAUAAUAAAGGGUUACUAUAUCUCU